CGUUAAGGACCUGUUUCGACAUGCUUCGUUGCACUUUACCAUCAGAUCGAAAUUAGUGUGGUAAUGAUAAUAUUAAGACCUACUGCAAAUGAAGUUUUCCACCGAGAAAUUUCGCAAAGUCAACCGGGUAAGUUUACAAUUACGAGUAUUUAUAUGUGAAUUUAUAUAACAGCUAUGAUUUAGUUUUGUGUAUCAAACAGCCUUUGUCCUCUGCCAUCAUUUAUAAUCAGCAAUAUAGAUAUAUGGAUUCAUAACAUCUGGAGCAUUCCUAUAAUGACGUUAUUGCGACUACAUUGCGACUACACUGUUGGAAUAUUUUGGGUUUCCAAUCUCGUAUAAUUUGAUGUACAUGUAGCUACUUUUCAAAUGAUAGGAUGCGC